rnacentral:rRNA from 1 species
UACGUAGGUGGCAAGCGUUGUCCGGAUUUACUGGGCGUAAAGGAUGCGUAGGCGGAUAUUUAAGUGGGAUGUGAAAUACCCGGGCUCAACCUGGGUGCUGCAUUCCAAACUGGAUAUCUAGAGUGCGGGAGAGGAAAGUGGAAUUCCUAGUGUAGCGGUGAAAUGCGUAGAGAUUAGGAAGAACACCAGUGGCGAAGGCGACUUUCUGGACCGUAACUGACGCUGAGACGCGAAAGCGUGGGGAGCAAACAGG